AUAAAUAAAAAAUAAUUUUAGGUCACAAUGAAAUAACCUUUGCCGAGAACAAGAUUUAUUAAUUUUACAUUUGUUGGCUCAACAAUUAUAACUUUUCUUGUCGAUUGGAAACUUUAGCCAAAUGUUGCACUAUGUUGUCCAGCAAACAGUGAAUGAAGACGUUUUAUUUGUGAAAUUGCUCCUCUAAUUGUAAAAGGUGGGAGCUAUGCAAAUCUUAUCCAGAACUGCCAUUUAGAAAAAUAAUAAAUUUCAAUAUACAGUUAUAAUCUUCAUGAAUUUAAGCAAUUAUGCAAAAUACAGAAUUUUAUUCUAUGAAUACGUAAAUCUAACAGUCUAUAUAAAUAAAAAUGAAUGUUGCUAAGCGCAUAACUCGAGAAUUGCUCAACCAAUUCGGUUAAUUUAUUUUUUGUAUGAUUUGGCCCAUAGAAGGUAUUAAAACUAAAAAUAAAAAAGGUAAAAAAUAUAUAUUUUUACUAUCAACUUUUGACCGAACGAAGUAUGUCCAGGCAGCGAGUUUUAAAUAAAAACUGCAUAAGAUUUUGGUUAUAAAAAAAUUAUUUACAUUACUUCUCAGAUUAAAAAAAUAUCACUGAUCAAAUCAAUGAAUCAAAUAGCACACCAGUCUGACUUAAGAUUCAUUGAAAGAAUCUCAAAAUUUCAUUUGUUGGGGUGUGAGUUGUAGUAGUAGUAUUUUCCGUAGGAGUACUAGUAUUUGUUGUAGUUGGGGCUGGCGUAGUAGUAGUAGUAUUUGUUGUAGUUGGGGCUGGCGUUGAAGUAGUAGUAUUUGCUGUCGUAGGAGUAUUUGUUGUAGUUGGGGCUAGCGUUGUAGUAGUAAUAUUUGCUGUAGUAGUAGUAUUUGUUGUAGUUGGGGCUGGCGUUGUAGUAGUAGUAGUAUUUGUUGUAGUUGGGGCUGGCGUUGUAGUAGUAGUAGUAUUUGUUGUAGUUGGGGCUGGCGUUGUAGUAGUAGUAUUUGCUGUCGUAGGAGUAUUUGUUGUAGUUGGGGCUAGCGUUGUAGUAGUAAUAUUUGUUGUCGUAGUAGUAUUUGUUGUAGUUGGGGCUGGCGUUGUAGUAGUAGUAGUAUUUGUUGUAGUUGGGGCUGGCGUUGUAGUAGUAGUAUUUGCUGUCGUAGGAGUAUUUGUUGUAGUUGGGGCUAGCGUUGUAGUAGUAAUAUUUGCUGUCGUAGUAGUAUUUGUUGUAGUUGGGGCUUGCGUUGUAGUAGUAGCAGUAUUUGUUGUAGUUGGGGCUGGCGUUGUAGUAGUAGUAUUUGCUGUCGUAGGAGUAUUUGUUGUAGUUGGGGCUAGCGUUGUAGUAGUAGUAUUUACUGUAGUAGUAGUAUUUGUUGUAGUUGGGGCUGGCGUUGUAGUAGUAGUAGUAUUUGUUGUAGUUGGGGCUGGCGUUGUAGUAGUAAUAUUUGCUGUCGUAGUAGUAUUUGUUGUAGUUGGGGCUGGCGUUGUAGUAGUAGUAGUAUUUGUUGUAGUUGGGGCUGGCGUUGUAGUAGUAGUAGUGUUUGUUUUAGUUGGAGCUGGCGUUGUAGUUGUAAUAUUUGCUGUCGUAGUAGUAUUUGUUGUAGUUGGGGCUGGCGUUGUAGUAGUAGUAUUUGCUGUCGUAGGAGUAUUUGUUGUAGUUGGGGCUAGCGUUGUAGUAGUAAUAUUUGCUGUCGUAGUAGUAUUUGUUGUAGUUGGGGCUUGCGUUGUAGUAGUAGCAGUAUUUGUUGUAGUUGGGGCUGGCGUUGUAGUAGUAGUAUUUGCUGUCGUAGGAGUAUUUGUUGUAGUUGGGGCUAGCGUUGUAGUAGUAGUAUUUACUGUAGUAGUAGUAUUUGUUGUAGUUGGGGCUGGCGUUGUAGUAGUAGUAGUAUUUGUUGUAGUUGGGGCUGGCGUUGUAGUAGUCCUAGUAGUAGAAGUUGGGGCACUUGUUGUUGUUUCUGGUGAUACUCCGGGUAAAGUACAUUGAGCUGAUGCAGAAUGUACGCACACC
rnacentral:misc_RNA from 1 species